GGGAGACUCCGCGCCUCCCGGUCCUCGGAGCGGUCGAGGGGCCAGCCAAUGGGAGAGGGGGGCGGGGCCUGGGCGCGGCAGGGGCGGGGCCGCCCCGAGAUUUGCGGAGCGUCGCCCCGAGCGGGAGGCUGAGCUGGGGGUUGCCGCCGCCUGGGCUCCCGGUUCCGGGCGGCCCCGUGCGCGAGCGCAGGUACGGUCCUCGGGCGCCGGCUGCUUUCUGGAUCGCUUUACUGCAAAAGGUGGCUGUUAUGAACCCUGCUGGACCUCGAGAGUUUGACUUAGGACCCGUUGCGAGAGCAAAUCAUGGCCUUUAGGGAUGCUCGUACCAGAAGACUUCCAGUCCACGUUUUUAUUAGUGAUCAGAAGGUUCCCUGCCCCCACCCCGACGUGAGUGCAGUGAUGAAACGAAUACUGAGCAGGUACAUGUGGCAGGGCGGUUAAUCCGGACAGCAAUCCCAUAAGGAAGCGUCUGUUAUCCCCGUUUGUACAACCGGUCAACUAGUCCAGAGAAGUGCUGUUUGUUCUGUGCUACUUUUAGAAGAAGCCCCCCCCUGCAAAUAGAAGUCAGUGGUGAUCGCAUUAUUCUCCAGAGGACCUGGGCUUCUACUUCAGAGAGAGAAUGAGGACCAUCAAGCACGGAUGUCUACAAUUUUUGCCCAACCAUCUCAUCCAAACCCCACAAAUUACCUAUAUCCACACCCAGGUUUGCUAGCUUUCCUGUGUCUCGCAGGCUGGGUGUCCCCGCUUUUCUCUGAAGCAAACGUCUCCGCUGUCUGCUCCCACCUGUGACCGCCUCUUUGACGCAUCUUUAACCUUGUCCUUUCUAUUGGGUACAACUCUGCAGCACAGUCACAUUUUAAGACUUUUCUGCCUUAAAUUUUCCCAUGAUUUUACAACCUCGUUCUAGUUCUCUCUUCUUUCAUCAUAAUUAAGCUUUUGAAAGAAUUUUGUACCAAGAGCAGCGUUGACCCUCCAUGAAUAUUUUUAGGAUUCAAUAAAUAUCUUCUGACUGAAUGAAUGUACAUUCUCCUCUCCGUUGCAUCAGCUCCUACCCUCUGACUUCAUACCUGGAUUUGAAGCACACUAUAUCCACAAUAAUUCUAAAAUAGGCAUCUGAACAUGUUGCUCCACUGCUUAAAAUCUUUCACUGGCUCAUCGGAACUUUCAAGACAAAGAUUAACAGGGUCUUCAAGGCUCCUUUCAUGCUUGCAUGCUCUGUCUCUCCUGUUAUGCCAAACUCUUCAGAGUCCCCUGAUUGCGCGCGCUCAUCUCUGCUUUAAUGAGUACUGUUUCCUCUGACCUUUUCCUUAGCUUUUUGCUGGUCCAGACCAUUUGAAAGUAAAUCCAAGAACACGCUUACAAGCGCGUUCUCAGCCGUCACACCUGCGUACCCAGCAGAAGUCUGCACACCACCUGCAGAACGCUUCCAGGCCUCCUGCUUCCAUCUCUGCCAUGUCUCACUUUCAGCUCUCCUGAGUCCUCAGUUUCCCUCCUCAGUUCAGCUCCAUUCAGAAGCUGCUAAUAUUCACCUAGGCCCCAAAGUUGACAGCCAAUAUUGAACCAACCUUUUAUUAUUAAAUAUUUCUUUGGUUUCAAAUGAACACUAUUAUAAAUAUCUUUUCAUAAAUCCUUGUCCAUGUCCUUACUGCCUCAAGUCCUGAAAAGUAAUCAAAGGUAUGAACACUUUUAGCCUUUUAGAAACAUGUUGGCAAGCUGCCUUCCAGGAAGAACAUAGGCUCAAGUGUCACAUGGCCUGGGGUCAAAUCGCAGUUCUGCCACCUGGGGCCACGUUCUGAUUUUCAUGGGCCCUAGAUGCUUUUACCUUUGUGGCCACUUCUGCCACAAAAUAAUAUUAAAAAUUAUAUUUAUAACUGCAUUGGUUUAAGGACAGCAUAUUGAUGUUAUAUAGUAAAAUGUUUUCUUUGACCAUAGCAUUCAUUUUUUUUCUUCUGAUUUUAAAAGAAGUUAAAACAUUUUAUGGGCGUCUGAAAUUGUGGUGAGCCUGAGGCACUGUGCCCACUGUGACAAUUGGAUAAGUCAACCCUGCUGCGACCUACAGGCUAUGAGAUUUGGCCAAAUUCCUUAAUCUGGCUGUGCCUCAACCAGAAAAUUGGUGUAACGCGGCCAUAUGAUGUUGUAGCAAAAAGUAAAUAAGUUGUUACAAAUAAAAUACUUAGAAGUACAUGGCACAUAAUCAAUACGUUACCGUCAUUAUAACUUUUAGUCUCAAUUUUCCCACAGAGGUAUAUGAGAGUAUACGAUUGUCCUUCUUCACUGUGCCAAAGUCAUCAUGGUGUAUUUUUAUAUGGGCAAAUAUGGUUUCUUAUUGUUGGCUCAUUGUCCAUUUUCUUACUGGGGUAUUCACAAAAAGUCACUUUAUAUGAUGUAGAUAUUGAUCCUAGAUAAAGCUAUUGGUCUUUUCCAUUUUUGUUUCCUUCUAUUAUUUUUUGCUUCACAAGUCCUUUCCCAUCCUGAGAUCAUAUCAAUUAUCUGCCUUUAUUUUUACUACGUGUUUGGUAAUUUUGACUUUUCCGUUAAAUAAUUUAAUCCUUUGGGAUUUAUUUUGGAGUGAUGAUCUACCUUUCAUUUUCUCGAAAUGGCUGACGGUCUUCCCCAGCUCAUUUUCUAAAGAAUCCUUCUCCAAGUAUGAUGGUUUUAAAAUAUGUAUGCCCACAAAUUCAUCGAUAUUCCUUCCUUCAAAAAGUGGAGACUAAUUCCCUUCCAAGUGAAUGUGGGCUGUACUUAGUGACUUGCUCCUAAAGGAUACAAUAUAGCAGAAGUGACACUGUGGCCAUCUUAAAAAGGUAUCGUGGCUCCUCCCUACCCCCUCUCAGAUCACUUGCUCUGGGGAAGGCAGUUACCAUGUCAUGAAGACAUUAUCAAGUAGCUUUAUCAGACGCCCAUGUGUCAAAGAGCUGAAUAUCCUGCCAACAACCAGCAAGAAUCUGCAGCCUCUGCCAAUCUCCAUGUGACUGAGCCAUCUUGGAAGCAGGCCUUGGGAUGAUGCAGACAUCUUGACUGCAACCUCAAUAGAGACCUUGAACAAGAACCCCCAGCUGAGUCGCUCCCAAAUGCCUGACCCAUAGUAACUGUUCCAUCUGCACCCUCUAGAGUGGAAAGUUUUUGAGACCAGCUGUUUUAUCUCCUGUGUUCACUGCUGUGUCUCCAGUGCCUAAGACAGAGCCUGACAUACAAUGGGUGCUGAGCUGGAUAACUCUCCACAGAUGAUCCCUUGACUAUACUCUUAGCACCAACACUUGACAAUAGUUGAACAGUGAUGAGUUCUUGACCCAAAGGUGUUCAUCUUAAAAUCAGCCUGUAGCUUAUGACACGGCCUGGAAUAAGGGCUCUGCGGACAGUCUCCUGGAAGAUGAUAGCAGUGUCAGACACUCAGAGAGAGAUACAGAUAACAGAAUGGCAUGGAAACAAAGAGGCUUUACAGAAAGAAGCAGUGAUCAGAAGCCGUGAGGUAAAAGUAAAAAGCCAGGUGGAAGUGGCAGUGAAAUAGAAACAGCCAUGGUAGAAGUAAAGAUAAGUUUAGCCACAAAUAUGGAGGAGAAGCUAGAGUAGAGAGCAACGGGCACUUGCUGCUGAGGGGUCAUCGGACGAACAGGACUCGCAGCUGGAUUAUUAUAAUUGUGGAGACACUGCGCACCUGAGCAUCCUGACUGGCAUUCCAGUUUCCCUGGAGACCUGGCCAUAUGACUGUUGAGAGGCGGUUUGUUCAUAUGUCCCUUUGUAUCAACUGAAAUUACCUACGUAUGGCUUUUUUGCUGCCUGAAAAGACCCAACUAAUGCAAGUAUUUUUUAAAAAUAUUGCUAGAUUUAAUUUUCCACUCUUCGUUUGGAGGAUUUAGCUAUAGUUUUUCUUCUGUGUGUGUGUGUAUGUGUGCACACGUGCAUGUGCACGCAAUAUGUGCAUACUAACUUUGUAGGUUAAAUUUUUUCUGUUACAUCCUGUUAACUUCUCUGGUGGGCCCUCUAUAUUAUCUGCCUUCUCAGUGAUACUUUGCUAGGUUUGGCAAAAUUACUUGCAAUUUACAGGUGCUAUUGUUGCAUAACUUUCCUUUACCCUUGUAUUUGAUGAGUGUAUCUCAGAUAGAGAAUCUGUGUUUUGUUAAUCCAUUGCUUUGUGAAACUGAGUGCCAAAUUCCAAAUAAAAAUUCAAAACUUUUAAA